rnacentral:rRNA from 1 species
AUUGAACGCUGGCGGCAGGCUUAACACAUGCAAUUCGAACGAUUGGCGGACGGGUGCUUAAUGCCUGGGAAACUGCCUGAUGGAGGGGGAUAACUCCUGGAACCGGUAGCUAAUACCGCUUACCUUCGGAUGUCCCCAGAUGGGAUUAGCUAGUAGGUGGGGUAAAGGCUCACCUAGGAGACGAUCCCUAGCUGGUCUGAGAGGAUGACCAGCCACACUGGAACUGAGACACGGUCCAGACUCCUACGGGAGGCAGCAGUGGGGAAUAUUGCACAAUGGGCGCAAGCCUGAUGCAGCCAUGCCGCGUGUAUGAAGAAGGCCGUCGGGUUGUAAAGUACUUUCAGCGGGGAGGCGUUACCCGCAGAAGAAGCACCGGCUAACUCCGUGCCAGCAGCCGCGGUAAUAC